GUCAGAAAGAAGAAGCUUGCACAGAGAGUGUGGUGGAAUUCCAGGGCCAACAAAGUCCCUUUACAACACCACAGGCCAGAGCUGGCUCUGAAAAUGACCACGUCCAAGCCCAGCUGGAAGCCAACUGCAAGUGGAUGAGGAGGCAGCAGACAAUUCUAGAGGAGGAGCCAUUCUUCAAGAUGGCUGGCUUCUCUCCACCAGGACAAAACUGCAAAACAAUCAAGGUACAUCACACACAAUGCACUGUAUGAAUCUUGGUAGGAUCUUACCUUGAUAAAAGCUAUACAAGUUAUUUGGAAGACCAUUCUGGACAUUGGAGUAGAGACUGGGUAUUAAAUUGGAAUAGGGACUUUUUGUUAAUUUUCUCAGGUGAGAUUACGGGAUUGUGGUUAUGUGAGGCAGGAGACCUGGGUGUGACAACCCACAAUGUGCAGGGUUGUAAGAAUGAGACAUGAGUAUAGCAUAGACCUGAAAACACUCACUAAAU
rnacentral:lncRNA from 13 species